rnacentral:tRNA from 1 species
CAGUUGAUUCAAAAUCAACCAUCGAGAGAUGUGCCGGUUCGAUUCCGGCCUUCGGCA